rnacentral:rRNA from 1 species
GACGAACGCUGGCGGCGUGCUUAACACAUGCAAGUCGAGCGGUAAGGCCCUUUCGGGGGUACGACGAGCGGCGAACGGGUGAGUAACACGUGGGUGACCUGCCCUCAGCUCUGGGAUAAGCCUGGGAAACUAGGGUCUAAUACCGGAUAUGACCCCAUGACGCAUGUCGUGGGGUGGAAAGCCUUGUGCGGCUGAGGAUGGGCCCGCGGCCUAUCAGCUUGUUGGUGGGGUGAUGGCCUACCAAGGCGACGACGGGUAGCCGGCCUGAGAGGGCGACCGGCCACACUGGGACUGAGACACGGCCCAGACUCCUACGGGAGGCAGCAGUGGGGAAUCUUGCGCAAUGGGCGAAAGCCUGACGCAGCGACGCCGCGUGAGGGAUGACGGCCU